UUUCUUCUAUUCUUUUCUCUCUGUACGUUGGUGUUUAAACCAAUAAUCACCGAAGCGAUAUUCUGUCCGAUCAAUUCAGGAACCAACUAACGAAUGCCAAAGUGUUGUACUUUGUGAAUUUCGGUAAACGGAAUCCAAAGUGUUAUACUUUGUGAGUUCAAUAAAUGGAUGCCAAAGUACUGUCUGAAUAAGACUAUACUUUGUGAAAUUCGUUAAGGUUUGAAUCUCGUGAUCAUCGUUAGGUUUGAUAUGGUUUUACACAAAUACGUAUUCCGUUCUGUUAAACUAUAUGUUUAACCAUCCGAAUACUCCCAACUAUACGCUUACAAUCAAAAUGGAUGCUUAAUCAUCAGAAGAUCCAAAAUAAUAAAGUAUAUGCUUAACUAUCAGAAGGAGUAGAAUCAAGAAGCUUGUUAAUUCAAUACUGCAUGCUUAUAAUGUAAUUACAGUAGAUUGGAGUAAGAGUUGGAUGCGGCACUAAAAGGCAUAAAGAAGUGGCUUAUUUUAUUAAAUUAAAUCAAAUUAAGAAAUAUUGUUUUAUAUAAUUGGGAUCAUCCCUUAUUAAAGCUACCUUUGUAAAACAUGGGUUUUAUCCCAUCUAUUUAAUAAAUAAAAUCCGUUGUCUCUAAACUCUGAUAUUUUUCCUAACUCACGGUCCUGAUGAAAUUUCCGCUGCAAUGUUUUCAAAAAUAAACAACUAGUACCACGGGCUGCUCACGGACCCCGAUUCCAUCAAGGGUGGGGUCGGGGGUCGUGACACUUUGGUUGCACGAUAGCACCGGGUUCUUAUAUAUAAAAAAAAGUUUCCAUGUGUUGAAAAUAUAACAUAAUAUAUGUCACUUUUAUAUAGUUUAUUAUUUAUAAAAUCAGUUUAGUUUUUCAUGUAAUUUUGAGAUGAAUUGGGCUUGUAGCUAUUUAGUUGAGUUGUUGGGCUUACUGAGAUUGUUGGGCUUGUUGAAGUGAUUGGGCUUGUAGCAAGCUUGGGAGUUCCGAAGGCCGGGUGGGGUAACAGUGAAUAGCGGUUCAAGUUUAGUUCGGAUGUCGGGUCUCUAUAUAAGUUAACUUAGCUCAUUGUUGAGUUCAUUCAUAAGAUACUUCAUCUCUUUUCAAGUUGUUUCUCUAUCUCUAGGGCAUUUCUUGAUCUCGUUUGUUUAGAUCAUUUAUGUGUAUCUUAAGUCUUGUUGAGAGGUUAGACAGAUCAUCGUGUUGAUGAUCUGAUCAUCGUGUUGAUGAUCUAUGUGUAAGAUUGAGUGUAGAUAUAACGCUUCGCAUUUUUGUACCUUCCAUAUUUAGAAAGUUGUAUUCGUAUUUCUAUUUUUAGAAACUGGUAUUCGUAUUGUAUUUGUAUUUGAUUUUCAAUCUUGUAACCCGAGACUUUGAUCAUAAUGGGAAUUCACUUUUAUAUU
rnacentral:lncRNA from 1 species